rnacentral:ncRNA from 2 species
CGAAAGUACACGGGGUGCUUGACUACGGAAACGUUGUCAGGCUGAGAUGAUACCCGCAACCUGAUCUGGAUAAUGCCAGCGUAGGAAAUGUAACCUCAUAGGAUA